ACAAAGUGGUGAUCGAAGUUUAAUUUUAUUCAAGUGAUAAAAUUAAGUUUAGGAAAGUCCAUGUUAGCACAUGUUUUUAGGAAAGCAUGUAGUGUUUGUGCUUAAGGAAAAAAUAACUUAAGGUGUUUGAAAUUUUUCAAGCAACGGCUUUUUAAAUUCUAAAGACAUAUUAUAUAUUAUUUAUAAUAAAGUUUAUGAAAAUAAAAAAUAAAGUGCCACAGAGACGAGUUAAUUAGAAAUAAUUAAGUGAAACGCGGUAAACCCCUCAAGCUAAUAAUCCAAAAUUAUGGUAGGAGCAUAUAAAAAUCAGUUUUUCCUAAUAUAAAUUUUAAUAAUUGGUUUUUAUACUAUUUUUAGAAAUAAAAGUAGAGAUAAAUGAUCGCACUUGUUUUAUACAAAACAAGAACAGAACAUGGCUUAUUCGU
rnacentral:RNase_P_RNA from 1 species